rnacentral:rRNA from 1 species
GACGAACGCUGGCGGCGUGCUUAACACAUGCAAGUCGAACGGAAAGGCCCUGCUUUUGUGGGGUGCUCGAGUGGCGAACGGGUGAGUAACACGUGAGUAACCUGCCCUUGACUUUGGGAUAACUUCAGGAAACUGGGGCUAAUACCGGAUAGGAGCUCCUGCUGCAUGGUGGGGGUUGGAAAGUUUCGGCGGUUGGGGAUGGACGCGCGGCUUACCAGCUUGUUGGUGGGGUAGUGGCUUACCAAGGCGUGGACGGGUAGCUGGCCGGAGAGGGGGACCGGCCACCUGGGAACUUAGACGCGGUCCAGACGACUGAGGGAGGGAGCAGUCGGGAAUGUGAGGCAACGGGCGAAAGCUUGACGCAGUGAGGCGGAGUGUGUGACGAAGGCCCUGGGUGCGGAAAGCCGGCUUUUGGGGUGAGAACAGCUGUCGACUGUGACGUGGCGGGAUUGACGGUACCGAAUAAAGAAGCACCGGCUAACUACGUG